CAGUAGCCACGGUAAUACAGAGGGUGCGAGCGUUAAUCUGAUUUACUGGGCGUAAAGCGUGCGUAGGCGGCUAAUUGAGUCGGAUGUGAAAUCCCCGAGCUUAACUUGGGAAUUGCAUUCGAUACUGGUUAGCUAGAGUGUGGGAGAGGAUGGUAGAAUUCCAGGUGUAGCGGUGAAAUGCGUAGAGAUCUGGAGGAAUACCGAUGGCGAAGGCAGCCAUCUGGCCUAACACUGACGCUGAGGUACGAAAGCAUGGGGAGCAAACAGGAUUAGAUACCCGUGUAGUCCCUGUCUCUUAUAC
rnacentral:rRNA from 1 species